UGGGGAAUAUUGCACAAUGGACGGAAGUCUGAUGCAGCAACGCCGCGUGCGGGAUGACGGCCUUCGGGUUGUAAACCGCUUUUUCUCAUGACGAAGUUUUUUGACGGUAGUGGGGGAAGAAGCACCGGCUAACUACGUGCCAGCAGCCGCGGUGAUACGUAGGGUGCGAGCGUUGUCCGGAAUUAUUGGGCGUAAAGAGCUUGUAGGCGGUUUGUCGCGUCGAUAGUGCAAACUCAGUGCUUAACGCUGAGCCUGCUGUUGAUACGGGCAGACUAGAGGAAGGUAGGGGAGAAUGGAAUUCCCGGUGGAGCGGUGGAAUGCGCAGAUAUCGGGAGGAACACCGGUGGAGAAGGCGGUUCUCUGGGCCUUUCCUGACGCUGAGAAGCGAAGGCGUGGGGAGCGAACAGG
rnacentral:rRNA from 1 species